rnacentral:rRNA from 1 species
CCUGGGCUCAGGAUGAACGCUGGCGGCGUGCUUAACACAUGCAAGUCGAACGAAGCUGCUAAAAGGAAGCCUUCGGGUGGAAUUUGGUUAGACUUAGUGGCGGACGGGUGAGUAACGCGUGGAUAACCUGCCUUAUUACAGGGGGAUAACGGAGAGAAAUUUACCGCUAAGACCGCAUAAGACCACAGCACCGCAUGGUGCAGGGGUAAAAAUAUUUAAUAGGUAUAAGAUGGAUCCGCGUCCGAUUAGCUAGUUGGUGAGGUGAGGCUCACCAAGGCGACGAUCGGAGCCGGCUGAGAGGGUGAACGGCCACAUAGGGCUGAGGACACGGCCCAAACUCCGUACGGGACGACGAGCGAGGUGGGGGAAUAAGUUUGGACAAAGUGGGGGGGAAAACCCUGAUCCGAGCGACGCCGCCCAAGCGUUCAUCCUGACGCCGAGGGACGUCGGUGGGGAGGCGAAGGGCACAGAGGGGA